rnacentral:rRNA from 1 species
AUGGGGAAGAAGACUGCUGCGAAGAGACCCCGAGGACGGAAGAUAGCAGAACCACCGAUGCAUCCUUUGGAAGAGUCGCGCAUCAAAAUAUGCAUAAGGAACAAUUCAGUGCUGCAAUCACUCGGAAUUCCUGCACUAUCAACACUGUUUGCAGCCAAAACUGUCAUUUCACCUGGAAAAAAAAUAAAGCAUAGUUCUGAUGAUUCUGAAGCUGAGUACUAUCCUAACGAGGACAAUACCAGUGAAGGAGAAUCGUCCGAUGAUAGUUUAGUAGAUGAAAUAGAAGCACUGCAGUCCACACCUGCUGCUAGCUCAAACUCUAAGGUUCUAAAUUCCUCCAUCUAG